AAGUUCACUUGUAAGAAGGAGAGGGUUAGCUUUGCUUUGAUAUUUAAGGCAAGAGAAGCAGAUUCGUCACGUUUUGGUAGAAUAGAGAUCCGACGUAUCAAAUCUUAUCGAAAGUUUGGUGAGACGCCUUUUCUCUGUUGCGAAUUGGAAUCAGCGGAGUUUGGAAGUGCGAUCGUGGUUUCAUCGCUUCUCUGAUCGGCACCAAAUUUUUUGGGGCGAUUCGUGACAUCUGGGUCUUGCUUUUCACCGAAGGGAUUACGAAGUUAACGGGCGUUGUUUGGCUGUUGCAGUCGCGAGGAGAG